rnacentral:rRNA from 1 species
CCUACGGGUGGCAGCAGUGGGGGAUAUUGCACAAUGGGGGAAAGCCUGAUGCAGCGACGCCGCGUGAGUGAAGAAGUAGCUCGGUAUGUAAAGCUCCAUCAGCAGGGGAGAAAAUGACAGUACCUGACCAAGAAGCCCCGUCUAACUACGUGCCAGCAGCCGCGGUAAUACGUAGGGGGCAAGCGUUAUCCGGAUUUACUGGGUGUAAAGGGAGCGUAGACGGUGAUUUAAGUCAGGAGUGAAAGCCCGGGGCUCAACCGCGGGACUGCAAUGGAAACUGUGUAACUGGAGUGCAGGAGGGGAAGGCGGAAUUCCUGGUGUAGCGGUGAAAUGCGUAGAUAUCAGGAGGAACACCGGCGGCGAAGGCGACCUGCUGGACUGAAACUGACGUUGAGGCUCGAAAGUGUGGGGAGCAAACAGGAUUAGAUACCCGUGUAGUC